GGAAUUCGAAGCCAAUAAAUCGCCAUUCAGUGGGAUCGAUCGUGUGCGAAAUGUGGGUGGAGAUGGACGUGUGGGGUAUAAAUUAAACACCUUUCUGGGUCGCUAUAAACAAUAACAACGAGAAUCCGAGAGCUGCUGGCAAAAAAACAAAUCGGAGCAAAACAAAAAACACACAAAUAACACACCACCAAUAGCGGCAAACGUAAACAACAACUGGCCAACUUGGGUGCAAAUGGAACACACACAGCUCGGCUGAUAACCGCAGAGAAUGCCAGUGAGACAACAUGGAAUAGAUCACGUUUCUGCAUUUCUCAUACGGCCCAAGCACCCUACACCCCGAAUCCGAGCCGUUUCAACAUUGGAACCCCCUCCCGAAAACGGAACCC
ensembl:ncRNA lncRNA:CR45543 long non-coding RNA:CR45543